rnacentral:rRNA from 1 species
UACGUAGGGUGCAAGCGUUAAUCGGAAUUACUGGGCGUAAAGGGCGCGUAGGCGGCUUUUCAAGUCGGGCGUGAAAGCUCCGGGCUUAACCCGGAAAUGUCGCUCGAUACUGUUGAGCUAGAGUGUGGAAGAGGCUACUGGAAUUCCGUGUGUAGCGGUGAAAUGCGUAGAUAUACGGAGGAACACCAGAGGCGAAGGCGGCUACCUGGACAAUUGCUGACGCUCAGGCACGAAAGCGUGGGGAGCAAAAGGG